rnacentral:rRNA from 1 species
AAUGAACGCUGGCGGCAUGCCUAACACAUGCAAGUCGAACGAGACCUUCGGGUCUAGUGGCGCACGGGUGCGUAACGCGUGGGAAUCUGCCCUUGGGUUCGGAAUAACAGUUAGAAAUGACUGCUAAUACCGGAUGAUGUCGAAAGACCAAAGAUUUAUCGCCCGAGGAUGAGCCCGCGUAGGAUUAGCUAGCUGGUGAGGUAAAGGCUCACCAAGGCGACGAUCCUUAGCUGGUCUGAGAGGAUGAUCAGCCACACUGGGACUGAGACACGGCCCAGACUCCUACGGGAGGCAGCAGUGGGGAAUAUUGGACAAUGGGCGAAAGCCUGAUCCAGCAAUGCCGCGUGAGUGAUGAAGGCCUUAGGGUUGUAAAGCUCUUUUACCCGGGAUGAUAAUGACAGUACCGGGAGAAUAAGCUCCGGCUACUUCGUGCCAGCCGCCGCCGUAACAC